CGUGAGCUUGUCAGGGAUGGUGGGAGGUUUUAAAAAAUCAUCGAUGAUGGAUUGAGCCUCAGCAUGACGUCGGUUCAAUACCAGUGCCCAGGC
rnacentral:tRNA from 1 species